AUACGUAGGGGGCGAGCGUUGUCCGGAAUGAUUGGGCGUAAAGGGCGCGUAGGCGGCGCGGUAAGUCUGGAGUGAAAGUCCUGCUUUCAAGGUGGGAAUUGCUUUGGAUACUGCCGCGCUUGAGUGCAGGAGAGGUUAUCGGAAUUCCCGGUGUAGCGGUGAAAUGCGUAGAGAUCGGGAGGAACACCAGUGGCGAAGGCGGGUAACUGGGCUGCAACUGACGCUGAGGCGCGAAAGUGUGGGGAGCAAACAGGAUUAGAUACCCUGGUAGUCCACACUGUAAACGAUGAAUACUAGGUGUGGGGGGACUGACCCCCUCCGUGCCGCAGUUAACACAAUAAGUAUUCCACCUGGGGAGUACGAUCGCAAGAUUGAAACUCAAAUGAAUUGACGGGG
rnacentral:rRNA from 1 species